rnacentral:lncRNA from 1 species
GAAGGUGUAGUUGUAGUCAUUCCACUCUUACUCUGACCUUGGCCAAAAAUAGAAGGAAACGAAAACCCUAAAAAUGGAAGGCAAAAACUGCUACAAGUCAGAAAUGACAUGGAAAAGGAGAGAAAUUGACUAAUUAAUGUAAUGUGAGGGGAGUAUGAGAGACAAAAUUGAUGUAAAUGUGUGUUGAUGGUUCUUUUUUUUUUUUUUUUUUUUUCUGUAAGUUCCAAUUGAUCACAAAUCAACCGUUGUGGUUGUUCU